rnacentral:rRNA from 1 species
GUUAGCGGCGCGCCUAACACAUGCAAGUCGAACGCGACUGGGGGCAACUCCAGUUGAGUGGCGCACGGGUGAGUAACACGUAGGUAAUCUCCCCCGAGUGGUGGAUAACCCUCCGAAAGGAGAGCUAAUACAGCAUGAGACCACGGGCUCGAAAGAGACUGAGGUCAAAGCGGAGGAUCGCAAGACUUCGCGCUUGGGGAUGAGCCUGCGGCCCAUCAUGGUAGUUGGCGGGGUAAUGGCCCACCAAGCCUUAGACGGGUAGCUGGUCUGAGAGGAUGAUCAGCCACACUGGAACUGAGACACGGUCCAGACUCCUACGGGAGGCAGCAGUGGGGAAUCUUGCGCAAUGGACGAAAGUCUGACGCAGCGACGCCGCGUGGGUGAUGAAGGCCUUCGGGUUGUAAAGCCCUGUGGGGAGGGACGAAUAAGUUGCAGCUAAUACCUGCAGCGAUGACGGUACCUCCUUAGCAAGCACCGGCUAACUCUGUGCCAGCAGCCGCGGUAA